rnacentral:rRNA from 1 species
AUGACGGCCUUCGGGUUGUAAACCUCUUUUGGUAGGGAAGAAGCCUUCGGGUGACGGUACCUGCAGAAAAAGCACCGGCUAACUACGUGCCAGCAGCCGCGGUAAUACGUAGGGUGCAAGCGUUAUCCGGAAUUAUUGGGCGUAAAGAGCUCGUAGGCGGUUUGUCGCGUCUGCUGUGAAAUCCCGGGGCUCAACUUCGGGCGUGCAGUGGGUACGGGCAGACUAGAGUGCGGUAGGGGAGAUUGGAAUUCCUGGUGUAGCGGUGGAAUGCGCAGAUAUCAGGAGGAACACCGAUGGCGAAGGCAGAUCUCUGGGCCGUAACUGACGCUGAGGAGCGAAAGGGUGGGGAGCAAACAGGCUUAGAUACCCUGGUAGUCCACCCCGUAAACGGUGGGAACUAGUUGUGGGGUCCUUUCCACGGAUUCCGUGACGCAGCUAACGCAUUAAGUUCCCCGCCUGGGGAGUACGGCCGCAAGGCUAAAACUCAAAGG